rnacentral:rRNA from 1 species
AGCGAACGCUGGCGGCAGGCUUAACACAUGCAAGUCGAGCGGGCACUUCGGUGUCAGCGGCAGACGGGUGAGUAACACGUGGGAACGUACCCUUCGGUUCGGAAUAACGCUGGGAAACUAGCGCUAAUACCGGAUACGCCCUUUUGGGGAAAGGUUUACUGCCGAAGGAUCGGCCCGCGUCUGAUUAGCUAGUUGGUGGGGUAAUGGCCUACCAAGGCGACGAUCAGUAGCUGGUCUGAGAGGAUGAUCGGCCACACUGGGACUGAGACACGGCCCAGACUCCUACGGGAGGCAGCAGUGGGGAAUAUUGGACAAUGGGCGCAAGCCUGAUCCAGCCAUGCCGCGUGAGUGAUGAAGGCCUUAGGGUUGUAAAGCUCUUUUGUCCGGGACGAUAAUGACGGUACCGGAAGAAUAAGCCCCGGCUAACUUCGUG